CCCUGCAGUCCUCCUACAUUAAGCUUUGAUCUUGUCGCAUCUCAGAAGCUAAGCAAGGUUGGGCUGGGUCAGUGUGUGGAAGGGAGACCUGAACAGAAAACCAAGCAAUAUAGGUA
rnacentral:rRNA from 1 species